UACGAAGGGUGCAAGCGUUAAUCGGAAUUACUGGGCGUAAAGGGUGCGUAGGCGGUUGUUUAAGUCUGUCGUGAAAUCCCCGGGCUCAACCUGGGAAUGGCAGUGGAUACUGGACAGCUAGAGUGUGUCAGAGGAUGGUGGAAUUCCCGGUGUAGCGGUGAAAUGCGUAGAGAUCGGGAGGAACAUCAGUGGCGAAGGCGGCCAUCUGGGACAACACUGACGCUGAGGCACGAAAGCGUGGGGAGCAAACAGG
rnacentral:rRNA from 1 species